AAGAAUUAUUAUUUAGAUGGAAAAACCUAAUUUUGCUUCUUAGCCUACGUUGUUAAAAAUGAUGUCGAUAUUCCUUCUUAUUUCGCUCGAAAACGUUAUGGGAAAAGGGUUUAUUGGAUAAAUGUUGCAACUCCACUCCUGCUGCGAAAAGGCCUUGAGUGGGUUUUCAAAAGUCAUCGGGCUAGAAAUUUUCGUUGGACCUGGCAACCCUGGAGAGCUUUCAGUUGACGUAGAACGCCUCCUGGCGGCCAUGUUGGAAGACCACUGCAUUAAUUAUUCUGAAAACAGCCGAGGGGCUACCCCAAACUGAAUGAUAAAAGUGACUAGAACUAGUGGAUUCAUCACCACGGUCAUUUUCUGUGGAGUAUAUGGCUCCUCAAACAAGGCCGGAAAAGAUGUUUACAGAUUCCCCGCAAUCAUGAAACACCAUUGGCAAUACCAAUGAGAUAAGACUCAAGAACUCAGAAAAGCGAAGAAACCUUUUUGCCCGUCAAGACCUCAACCCAGACUGCUUUCAAUACAGGGUUUGCUACGAUCAUUUCAUCAUUGGAAGGUCAAGUCUUAUCGAUUUUGAGUUUAGUUUCACUGGUAUGCUAACCAGGCGUUAACAACACUAAGUUCACCAGCUGACCUAUAUCAAGACACCCAUGUUGACUGGAUUCCCCCUGUGAAGAUGGGUAAUGCUGCAGCAGCAUCAGUUUCUACUACUUCUUCAUCUUUUUCCAGACAUGAAAGAAGACAUCCCUCAGUUAUAUGACAUGGUUGUCAUAUGCUGUGCUUUGGACAAUUAUUCUGUUGUCAAUUGAGUAGAGCACCUUGUCAUGACAAAAGUGCCCCCUUACACUGUAUGAAUAUAAUGUAAUUUGGAACGUUUAAAAGACUUGUUGAUAUUGUAAACAUACUGUACUUCAAGCUAUAUUGUUGUCUAAGUGAAAAGACAAGUAUUCUGUCAUCUUUGCUUUGCCUAGCCCCAUUGAAUAAAAAGUAUUUCUUAUGGCCCAACUAUUGCAAUGUUCCUUGCUUUUCAGAAACGUGGCUCUCAGACAAUAUGCCCCCCACGGCUAUCUAACUCGAUGGAUUCUUCAUUCACCGGGCAGACAGGAUAGUGGAGUCGGGGUGAGGCUGCCUUUCUGGUUGCGGUGAUUAUAAUUCGGCGUCACUAAAUCAAAAAGAUAUAUAAAUCACAUGCGCCGAAUACAACAGGUAUAGAUAGACCUUACAGUGAAAUGCUUACUUACAAGCCCUUAACCAACAAUGCAGUUAAGAAAAAUAAGUGUUAAAGUAUUUACUGAAAUAAACUGAAGAAAGUAAUGAAGGGAAAAAAAGGUGCAAAAAUAAAAUAACAGUAGCGAGGCUAAAUACAGGGGGUACAGGUUAUUCGAGGGAUUGAGGUCAUAUGUACAUGUAGGUAGAGGUACAGUGACUAUGUAUGGAUAAUAAACAGAGUAGUAGAAAAAGUUUGGCAUGAGCUCUCAAAUCCUGAAAAGGUUCUACAACUGUACCUUCGAGAGCAUAUCGACUGGCUGCAUCACUGCUUGGUAUAGCAAUAGCAUCGCCCUCGAUCGUAUGGCGCUACAGAGGGUUGUGCGCACAGCCCAGUACAUCACUGAGGCCAAGCUCCCUGCCAUCCUGGACCUCCAUAUCAGGUCAAAGAUCCCAACCAUCCAAGCCAUAGAUUUUCUCUGCUUGAACAGCUUUUAUCCCCAAGCAAUACGACUGAAAAAUAGCUAACAAACUUGCACGGACCAAGUUUACCUUGCAUCUUUAUUGACCUUCUAUUUCAGUAUUUUGCACUGUCUAUGCACACUCACAGGGCCCUACACACUGUCACUCCAAAGCAAACACUCACUCCAUUUUCUCACUCACACAUAAUAUGCACAUACAUUUAUACCAACUCUACACCCACAAGCUGCUGCUACUCUGUUUAUCUUAUAUCCAGUUGCCUAGUCACCUUACCCCACACAUAUCUACCUCCCAUCACCCCAGUAUCCCUGCACAUGUAAAUAUGGUAUUGGAACUGACUUUUUAAAUAUUUUCUGUAUAUAGUAUGUUUGUUUACUUUAUUGUGUAUUUCAUAUUUCUUGUGUGCUUUUUUUCUAGUAAUACAUUUGAUUAUUGCAUUGUUGGGUUUUGAGUUCGCAUUAAAGGCAUUUUACUGUGCAUGUGACAUUAACUUGAAACGUGUCAUUCUUUUACAAUUUAAACACAUUUAGCGUAGACAAUGUAGUUAUUGUGGUAGUCUUAAACCACCUCGAUUGCAAGGGUUGGAUAUGAACUAAACAAUCUUGUGUCAGCACAAGGCAUGUAGAAAAUCUAGUAUAAUGAUCAGCCUCAUACAUUGCCUACUGGUAUAGUUUUUAAAUUGAUAACAUAUAGCUGAACAAUACAAACAUUGUGUGGGUUAAGCUAUUAUCUAAUUCAGAUGCACAAUGUCGAGGGUACAGUUAUUCUAGCCCCGGACAAACAGACCUGAUUCAACUUGUCAACGAAUCAUCAGGCCCUCAAUGAGUUGAAUCAGGUGUGCUGUUGAGGGUACUCAAGGACUGGAGUUGGGAACCACUGCUGUAGGCCUAUGGCUGCAUUGGCAUUGCAUGCCAUUAUCAGCUGCAUAAUGGGUCAACUUUUUAAAAUUAUUUAACCUUUAUUUAACUAGGCAAGUCAGUUAAGAACAAAUUCUUAUUUACAAUGACGGCCUUGGGUUAACUGCCUUGUUCAGGGGCAGAACGACAGAGUUUUACCUUGUCAGCUCGGGGAUUCGAUCAAGCAACCUUUCGGUUACUGGCCCAGCGCUCUAACCGCUACCUGCCGCCCCCCACAUGGCUGAUCUCCUGAAAAAAUUGUGACAAUCAAAUAAAUCUAAUUGGAGAGCUUAUGACUGACAAAAUGGUAAUGAUCAUUUGAGAAACAAACACAAACAUUCCCUUCCCUUUUUUAUUGCAGGAUUGUGAUCUGUAAUUAAUCAACAUCAACACUAGUUAAUAUUGAAUAAUGGUUAAGUUAACAAUUAAAACAUGUUUAAACACUUCACUUCAAAGAAUCAACACUGUUUCAUAUCAUUUCAAAGUGUACAAGUAAGCUAACUCAAAUGUAAAGUUUUAGUAACAAGUAGGCUAUUUACCACAAAAGCAUAAUUUCAGGUAAACAAAAAUAAUUCAAUACCGGAGGUGGCCAUCCUCGCUCCACUGAUCCCUUAUCUACUGGGUGAGAAGACUUCCGGUCCAGCCCAACAAUAGCACACUUGAGUCUAAACUAUUUAGGUUUGAUACCUUGAAUUAGGUGUGUUAUUUCUGGGCUGAAACAUAAGUGUGUACUCCCAGUAUGGUUGGCCUGCUCCAGUUGUAAAAGGUUUAUACAUUGCGUGACUUUUAAACUGUAUUUUUGUUUACAAACUUUGCCAACAUAGGUAGACAUAUAAUCUAUGGUAUACAAGGAUGUACCCUUAUUCUCUUGGGACAUUGAUUGAAACUGC
rnacentral:lncRNA from 1 species